GACGAACGCUGGCGGCGUGCCUAAUACAUGCAAGUCGAGCGGACCAAAGGGAGCUUGCUCCUGGAGGUCAGCGGCGAACGGGUGAGUAACACGUGGGCAACCUGCCUGUAAGACUGGGAUAACAUCGAGAAAUCGGUGCUAAUACCGGAUAAUAAAAAGAACUGCAUGGUUCUUUUUUGAAAGAUGGUUUCGGCUAUCACUUACAGAUGGGCCGCGGCGCAUUAGCUAGUUGGUGAGGUAACGGCUCACCAAGGCAACGAUGCGUAGCCGACCUGAGAGGGUGAUCGGCCACACUGGGACUGAGACACGGCCCAGACUCCUACGGGAGGCAGCAGUAGGGAAUCUUCCGCAAUGGACGAAAGUCUGACGGAGCAACGCCGCGUGAGUGAUGAAGGUUUUCGGAUCGUAAAACUCUGUUGUUAGGGAAGAACAAGUGCUUCGAAAGGCGGCACCUUGACGGUACCUAACGAGAAAGCCACGG
rnacentral:rRNA from 1 species